CCAAUGAUUGGGAACCAGUUGAGGUUGAUAGAUCUCCUGGUUGCUAAAAUCAAAUACCCAUCUUUGUGCACCUUUUUUAUGUCUCUGGUGGUCGCAAGAGAAGUCUCUUAUUUGGAGGAUCUCUUCUAGUUCAUUUUGAUCCUCGGACAAAAGAAUGAAGCCACCAAAUGGUUGCUAUAACACACUUUUUUGCCGUCCAAAAUAUCUGUCUAACAUUGAUUUGUGUAAAAUACAUAAAA
rnacentral:misc_RNA from 1 species